rnacentral:rRNA from 1 species
CGGGUGUGAAUUAGCGGCGAACGGGUGAGGAACACGUGAAGAAUCUGCCUUCAACUCUGGGAUAACUCCGGGAAACCGGGGCUAAUACCGGAUAUGAGCCUUGAUCGCAUGAUCGGGGCUGGAAAGUUUUUCGGUUGAAGAUGACUUCGCGGCCUAUCAGCUUGUUGGUGAGGUAAUGGCUCACCAAGGCGACGACGGGUAGCCGGCCUGAGAGGGCGACCGGCCACACUGGGACUGAGACACGGCCCAGACUCCUACGGGAGGCAGCAGUGGGGAAUAUUGGGCAAUGGAGGAAACUCUGACCCAGCGACGCCGCGUGAGGGAUGAAGGCCUUCGGGUUGUAAACCUCUUUCAGUAGGGAAGAAGCGAAAGUGACGGUACCUACAGAAGAAGCACCGGCUAACUAUGUGCCAGCAGCCGCGGUAAUACAUAGGGUGCAAGCGUUGUCCGGAAUUAUUGGGCGUAAAGAGCUCGUAGGUGGUUCGAUACGUCGGAUGUGAAAAUCAGGGGCUCAACCCCUGACCUGCAUCCGAUACGGUCGAGCUAGAGUUUGGUAGGGGAGACUGGAAUUCCUGGUGUAGCGGUGGAAUGCGCAGAUAUCAGGAGGAACACCGAUGGCGAAGGCAGGUCUCUGGGCCAAUACUGACACUGAGGAGCGAAAGCGUGGGGAGCGAACAGGAUUAGAUACCCUGGUAGUCCACGCCGUAAACGGUGGGCGCUAGUUGUGCGAACCUUCCACGGUUUGUGCGACGCAGCUAACGCAUUAAGCGCCCCGCCUGGGGAGUACGAUCGCAAGAUUAAAACUCAAAGGAAUUGACGGGGCCCCGCACAAGCAGCGGAGCAUGCGGCUUAAUUCGACGCAACGCGAAGAACCUUACCUAGGCUUGACAUAUACAGGAAUAUGGCAGAGAUGUCA